CCUACGGGAGGCAGCAGUGAGGAAUAUUGGUCAAUGGGCGAGAGCCUGAACCAGCCAAGUCGCGUGAGGGAAGACGGUCCUAUGGAUCGUAAACCUCUUUUGCCGGGGAGCAAAAAGCGGUACGUGUACCGCCUCGAGAGUACCCGGAGAAAAAGCAUCGGCUAACUCCGUGCCAGCAGCCGCGGUAAUACGGAGGAUGCGAGCGUUAUCCGGAUUUAUUGGGUUUAAAGGGUGCGCAGGCGGCGAGUUAAGUCGGCGGUAAAAUUUCGGGGCUCAACCCCGACAAGCCGUUGAAACUGGGUGGCUAGAGUGGGCGGGAAGUAUGCGGAAUGCGUGGUGUAGCGGUGAAAUGCAUAGAUAUCGCGCAGAACCCCGAUUGCGAAGGCAGCAUGCCGGGGCCCAACUGACGCUGAGGCACGAAAGCGUGGGGAUCGAACAGGAUUAGAUACCCCUGUAGUC
rnacentral:rRNA from 1 species